CGAGGCCAGGGAUCGAACCUGCGUCCUCAUGGAUGCUAGUCAGAUUCAUUAACCACUGAGCCACUAUGGGAACUGUGACACACGGGAAUUUCUGUGUGGUCUCAGGCUCUGCCUCUGAGCCGCCCCAGACAAGAGCAGUGUGUGUCCUGCAGCACUCCUAACUUCUCAGGAAAUGGGAUCGCAAGUGUGCUGAGGAGAGGGCAGGACGCUGGGAGCGUUGUUUGAGUCGGGUGCAGAUAGGGUUAGGGUGUGCAGGGGUGCAGGGCAUGAGUGCUAUUGGACAGGUGGAUCCAGGCCGCUCCCAGUCCCUGGGCUCCCUGACGACCACAGCUCCCUUCCUGGCUGGCUUCUGUGCAGUUGGUCAUCUGGCUGAAUCCUGCAGGUUCUCCUCCCCUUCUGGACGCUGCCUCAGGACAUUCAUCCCAAGUUUGAACACCCUUCAACGGAAAUGGAGUAUCAGACUCGCUGGGCGAGCUACUCUCCAAAGGGUGACCUUUCCGCCAGUGCAUCUCAGUAGCGUCAGACAUGGGCUCCCUGAAAAUGCUGCUCAAGAAGCCUGCAGAUGAGAUGACCUUCACAGGUCAGGGUCAAGAUGCCCCCUCGACACCUCUGCCUUGAGGUCUCAUCCAUACACCACCCGUCGAGGCCCACAGGAACCCCCGCCUCACUGAACUGAGGAAGCGCCCUCUCCUUCUACGUGGUUUUUGUUUGUUUGCUUGCUUUCGGUUUUGUCGAAACGCUUUUUAAAAAAUCUGUUGAGAUGAUCAUCUGGCUUCUCCUUUUUAGUUUGUUCACGUGGGACCACACUGAUUCUUGGAUGUUAAACCAGCCUUAUGUUCCGAGGAAAUCCCAUCUGGUCAUGAUAGGUUAUCCUAUUGCUGUAUUAAUUUGCUAAAAUUCUCCGAGUUAAGAGUAAUUUGCCGGGAUGCCUUGUAUCUGCUGUGAGGGUCUCGCUGUCCUCAGACUAGGCGGGAAGCUCACCUCCUCUUCACUGUGGACCAGCCAGCAGAGACUUGGUCUCAUCUGUCCCUUAAAUGUUUAGGAAUUUAAGUGGGUUGGGAAUUCUCUUUGUGAGAAGGUUUUUAACAAUUAUUCAGGUUGUUUGGUUCCGUUAUGUGCUUAUUUUUGAGCCAACUGUGGCCAUCCUUGGUUGCUUGCCAGAUGGCAACCUUACCUUGCUUCUGGACAAUUUUAUAAUCCGUGCUCUUGGGCUUUGUUCUGGGAUAUGCCGAAAAAUUCCUUGGCGGCCGUUUGACCCUUUUGGAUCUUCCGCUUGAGCCCUGUGAGGAGGUUCUGGGCAGCCCGCGCUCCAGGGCUCAUUGUUCCCCACUCCUGAGUUCCCUAGCGGCCCCCGCGGGUUCAAGAGCACUCCCCUCACGGCUCCAUCCUGUGAACUCUGGCCGCACUGGUCCCUUGGGACCAUCUGCCCGGGAGCUGGCAGCCGUGAGCUGGGCAGCCAGGGCACUCACCGCAAUUGCCCCCUCAUCCUGGGGGUCACUGUCCUUGGUCGCCUGACGUCCUGUGCCUUGGGGACCGUCGCCUCCUGGUCUUGUCUGGGUUCUAGUCAGUUGGGGCGGGGGUGGGGGUGCCUGGGAUACAUCUGGGCUAGAAGCAGAGGCCUGCUUCUGUUUCGUUUUCGUCUCUGACUCGACCCUUCCAGACUUCCAAUUCCAGCUUCUCAGGGCCAACAGCUCUUUGACUGUGAAUCGUGGUGACCUCCGUUCCCUUCGCUGCCUUUUUUUGGUUUGUGGGGUUUUUUACUGCACCUGUGGUGUGUGAAAGUUCCUUGACCAGGGAUCGAAGCCCCCUUACAGCAGCAACCUGAGCCGCUGCUGUGACAACACCAGAUCUUUAACCCACUGUGGCGAAAGGGAACUCCCGUCCUGGCUUUUUUUUUUCAGUCUCUGGUUUUACGAGGUACUGGUUGGCUGCCAUGUAGCACAGUAUUGCACUCUUGCUCCCAGCAGCCCCGCCCGGCCCACUCUCUGGCUGGUGGGGCCCCAGGCCACACCAUCAGGAAGUGAAGUGUCAUGGCUGAGCCAGGCAGCUCCGCCAGCUCUCUGGGUGCCUCUCCCUCUUCCGUAAGGCGGACAGGCCAGACCUGUGAAGCCGUUGUGAACUUGGAGGGAAAGUCCGUGUCAGGUGAGUGUCUGACAGGCCCGGGCGGGGCUGAGGUGUUCCUGGAAGUGCCAGCUCCUGAGCUGCACCGUCCCAGUUGCCCUGGGUCAGUGGAGAGCAGAAGGGCACCUCUCAGGGGCCCAUCACGUUAGAGAUUAACUUCCAGGCCAAAACAAAAAUAUGUUUACUAUCUUAUGGGCCACAGAAAUGCAAAAUCCCACAUAGCAGUUGUGGGAGUACUCCCCGAAGGGCACGGAGGAUGACGUGGGACAUGGGCUGGCACCCAGCAAAACCCGCCAGGAUGGGCGGCUGGAUCUUGCCAGCAUCCUGCAGAUCUCUCGAGUCAAAGGCACUGCCUAGGCCCCUGGGUGGGCAGGGUCCCUGAAUGGUCGCCUCUCUGCCCUGGGGGUCUUCGAGUCAGUGUGGGGAGCAGAGAACCAAACUCGGGCACUAGAAUUUUUCUGUGUUGAAAUGGGAUCAGAACACAUUUUGUGUUUUAGUGCAUGAGAGGUGAUCAGCUUGCCACCGAGGCAACAUUUAAGCAUGGAAAUUACUUAGAUUUGUUGCUUUAAGAUGAAAUCCUGCUAAGCUAACAUUAAGUUUGAAAACUUAAGAGAAAUUUUGGAAUAAACUACCCUAAAUUGAAUUAAUCCAGGUAUCAGGUAUUUAAUCUGGAGGAUUUUUUUUUAAUUCAGAUAAAGU